CCUACGGGAGGCAGCAGUGAGGAAUAUUGGUCAAUGGACGCAAGUCUGAACCAGCCAAGUAGCGUGCAGGAUGACGGCCCUCCGGGUUGUAAACUGCUUUUAGUUGGGAAUAAAAGGGGGCUCGUGAGCUCCGUAUUGUAUGUACCAUCAGAAAAAGGACCGGCUAAUUCCGUGCCAGCAGCCGGGGUAAUACGGAAGGUCCGGGCGUUAUCCGGUUUUAUUGGGUUUAAAGGGAGCGUAGGCCGGCUUUUAAGUCAGCUGUGAAAGUCCGCGGCUCAACCGUGGAAUUGCAGUUGAAACGGGAGGCCUUGAGUGCACACAGGGCUGCCGGAAUUCAUGGUGUAGCGGUGAAAUGCUUAGAUAUCAUGAAGAACUCCGAUCGCGAAGGCAAGUGUCCGGGGUGCAACUGACGCUGAGGCUCGAAAGUGCGGGUAGCAAACAGGAUUAGAUACCCCGGUAGUC
rnacentral:rRNA from 1 species